UGGUGGAGUGAUUUGUCUGCUUAAUUGCGAUAACGAACGAGACCUUAACCUGCUAAAUAGUCAGGCCAGCUUCGGCUGGUCGCAGGCUUCUUAGAGGGACUAUCGGCUUCAAGCCGAUGGAAGUUUGAGGCAAUAACG
rnacentral:rRNA from 1 species